GAUGAACGCUGGCGGCGUGCCUAAUACAUGCAAGUCGAGCGAACAGACGAGGAGCUUGCUCCUCUGACGUUAGCGGCGGACGGGUGAGUAACACGUGGAUAACCUACCUAUAAGACUGGGAUAACUUCGGGAAACCGGAGCUAAUACCGGAUAAUAUAUUGAACCGCAUGGUUCAAUAGUGAAAGACGGUUUUGCUGUCACUUAUAGAUGGAUCCGCGCCGCAUUAGCUAGUUGGUAAGGUAACGGCUUACCAAGGCAACGAUGCGUAGCCGACCUGAGAGGGUGAUCGGCCACACUGAAACUGAGCACCGGUCCAGACUCCUACGGAGGCCGGCAGAGGGAAAUCUUCGGCAAUGGCCGAAGGCUUGACGAGGCAACGCCGCGGGGGUAAGAAAGGUCUUCGGACCGUAAAACUCUGUUAUAGGGAAGAACCAAUUGUGUAGUUACCAAGCACCGCUUGAAGGGACCCAAACCAGAAGGCAACGCCUAACUCCGU
rnacentral:rRNA from 1 species